rnacentral:rRNA from 2 species
CUAAUUGAAUCGGAUUUAGGCCCUGCUAGUUGCACGAGUUCAGACUCGUAGCAGAUAGCUCAGUAACACGUGGCCAAACUACCCUAUGGAUCCGAAUAACCUCGGGAAACUGAGGCUAAUUCGGAAUACGAUUCACCGCCUGGAGUGGUGUGAAUCCGAAACGCUCCGGCGCCAUAGGAUGUGGCUGCGGCCGAUUAGGUAGACGGUGGGGUAACGGCCCACCGUGCCCAUAAUCGGUACGGGUUGUGAGAGCAAGAGCCCGGAGACGGUAUCUGAGACAAGAUACCGGGCCCUACGGGGCGCAGCAGGCGCGAAACCUUUACACUGCACGAAAGUGCGAUAAGGGGACUCCAAGUGCGAGGGCAUAUAGUCCUCGCUUUUUGCGACCGUAAGGUGGUCGCGGAAUAAGUGCUGGGCAAGACCGGUGCCAGCCGCCGCGGUAAUACCGGCAGCACGAGUGAUGACCGCUAUUAUUGGGCCUAAAGCGUCCGUAGCUGGCCGUGCAAGUCCAUCGGGAAAUCCGCGCGCUUAACGCGCGGGCGUCCGGUGGAAACUGCAUGGCUUGGGACCGGAAGACCAGAGGGGUACGUCCGGGGUAGGAGUGAAAUCCCGUAAUCCUGGACGGACCACCGGUGGCGAAAGCGCCUCUGGAAGACGGAUCCGACGGUGAGGGACGAAAAGCUCGGGUCACGAACCGGAUUAGAUACCCGGGUAGUCCGA